rfam:Parcubacteria group bacterium RIFCSPLOWO2_01_FTLL_48_18 rifcsplowo2_01_scaffold_3214, whole genome shotgun sequence.
GGGGAUGACGGGCUUUGAUGGGUUUUGCGUCGGAUAAUCGUAAGCCGAGAUCGAAAGUUCUCGUUAAUCAGCUUUCGCAGAACGAAUAACUGCCAACAAAAACUAUUCACCCGCAUUAGCUUUUGCUUAAUGCGGCGGCAGAAUCCUGAUUCUCGAUACGGAUCCCUGCUGCCAUACAUUCGAGAUUACCCCGCUAAACCGCUUUCGUUAGCCGGGGGAAAAUAAAGAAGGCAUAUCCAAAAUUAUUUUGCCGGUUUUAAAAUUUUGGAUCACACAAAAUCGGCUACGCUUAUACACGAUCAUUCGGCAAAGAAUCCACACGCCGGUUCAACUCCGGCCAUCUCCACAA